UGGGAAUCUUGCGCAAUGGGCGAAAGCCUGACGCAGCCAUGCCGCGUGAGUGAUGAAGGCCUUAGGGUUGUAAAACUCUUUCACCGGGGACGAUAAUGACGGUACCCGGAGAAGAAGCCCCGGCUAACUUCGUGCCAGCAGCCGCGGUAAUACGAAGGGGGCUAGCGUUGCUCGGAAUUACUGGGCGUAAAGGGCGCGUAGGCGGAUCAGCAAGUUGGGGGUGAAAGCCCGGGGCUCAACCUCGGAAUUGCCUUCAAAACUGCUGAUCUAGAGUACGGGAGAGGUGUGUGGAACUCCGAGUGUAGAGGUGAAAUUCGUAGAUAUUCGGAAGAACACCAGUGGCGAAGGCGACACACUGGCCCGUUACUGACGCUGAGGCGCGAAAGCGUGGGGAGCAAACAGGAUUAGAUACCCUGGUAGUCCACGCUGUAAACGAUGAUUGCUAGUUGUCGGCAGGCAUGCCUGUCGGUGACGCAGCUAACGCAUUAAGCAAUCCGCCUGGGGAGUACGGUCGCAAGAUUAAAAUUCAAAGGAAUUGACGGGGUCAUAGCUGUUUCCU
rnacentral:rRNA from 1 species